GCUUCGGUGGCCUAGUGGUUGGAGCAUCUGCCUCAGAUGCGGGAGGUCACAGGUUCAAAUACUGGCUGAGUCA